CUCUUCCCAUUCCGAACAGAGAAGUUAAGCCCGCCAGCGCCGAUGGUACUGCGUUAGUGGGAGAGUAGGUCGCUGCCAAUU
rnacentral:rRNA from 1 species